UUUAAACUUUACAGACACUUCAUGAGUUUCAGGUAGACUCUGGAGUUUGACAACAUAGUCAUAGAUAAUGAGUGAUGGGAUGCAGAGCCCUAGACGAUAUUAGGCAGUCUUUCAACUGCAUUCUGGAUCUCUGAAUUAACACUGUUGUUUUGGGCCGGGGAGGAUAUUAAGCUGUCUUGCACAGUUCAGUUAUUCAUAAACUUACUAUUUUGAACGAUUUCAUGUGAGUCCACCCAAGUCUUUGAAGAAAUGAGUUUUAUGCUAGUCUAAUUGAUUUUCUUACGUGGUACAAUUGUAAACACACGAUUCCACGAGCUAAUUUUUGAGUUUCAUGAACACCAUCACAGCUGUAUCCUAGCGUGAACAAACCCACAACAACUAUAUCUCUGGCUCCUAGUUUGAAUGAACCCAUAACCCAUUACAGUUUUCUGCGACAAACCCAGUGAUCAAGCCAUUCCAAUUCAUCGUGAAUGAACCCAUCAUUAUCAUAGCUCAUUGUCCCAGGGUGAAUCAUCGAUCAAGCAUCAAUGAGGUAACUAACUACGAAGCUUAUUCAUGUGACGACCACUGUUGAUGUGGUAUUUAAAGUAGUUGUAUCUUUGUUUGAACAGUACAAGCUUUGUAUCUCCGUCAGAAAUCUUGGUGGUUUUAAACCAUGGUCUAUUGCAAUGGGUUGAAAUGGACAUUUGUUGAGGGUGAAUUAUGGUAACUUGGUAAGUGACAAUUUUUUAAUGUUAUCUUUCAAGAAAUUCAAAAGAGUGGGGAAUGUUGAACUAAUCCGCCAGUGAAGUAUAAUGAAAGAUUUGUAGAAGAGAUUUCCAGGACGAAGGUGAAGUUUAAACAUCCUCUCUAAAAAAAAAGGGUUUAAUCAAGUCCCUGAUUUUUUUC